CCCGGCCCGGCCAGGCUGCCGCGGCCCCACAGUGCGACGUGUCACAGGCCGCGCCGGCCCCGCCUCCCAAGCCACGGGCACUGGCGCCCGCGGGGCCUCCCGCCGGUUCCCGCAGGGAUGCCAGGCAGGCCCGCACUCGCCCGCGGCCGCUACCUUGUUAGUGGGCACCGAGCGGAGGCGCUUGAAGAUGGUCAAGAUGUCCUGCUUGCUGGGGUCCCCCAUCGUCAGCUGUGAGCCGCGGCGCAGCUGGCCCAGCCAACCGGAAAAGGAGUGGAUGCCCACGUGGCUGGCUGAGGCUCCUGGGCCCGCCGCCUCCGUCCCCCCGCUGGCCUGUCCCCGACUCAUCACUGGAUCGCCUCCACAUAAUUUGCCGGGUAUAGGCCAACUUGCCCGUUGUCCAAGCGUCCCUUGCACCAGCCCUGCUCAUCCUCGUCCUCCAUCUUGGUCAGCUCAUCCCCUGCAAGACAAAGAGGGAGCCGUCUCCAUGAGAGACGGAGUCUAGCUCUGUUGCCCAAGCUGAAGCGCAG
rnacentral:lncRNA from 1 species